rnacentral:rRNA from 1 species
GAUGAACGCUAGCGGCAGGCUUAAUACAUGCAAGUCAAGGGGGUAGCAAUACAACCGGCGCACGGGUGAGUAACGCGUACACAACAUACCAUAUACUGGAGUAUAGCUUUGGGAAACUGAAGGUAAUCCUCCAUAACAUUGCGAGAGGGCAUCUGAUUGCAAUUAAAGUUUCGGCGGUAUAUGAUUGGUGUGCGUUUGAUUAGCUAGUUGGUAGGGUAACGGCCUACCAAGGCGACGAUCAAUAGCUGGCGUGAGAGCGCGACCAGCCACACUGGAACUGAGACACGGUCCAGACUCCUACGGGAGGCAGCAGUAGGGAAUAUUGGACAAUGGAGGAAACUCUGAUCCAGCCAUGCCGCGUGAUAGAUGAAGGCCCUCUGGGUUGUAAAUAUCUUUUAUCUGGGAAGAAACACUCCUAUUCUUAGGAACUUGACGGUACCAGAGGAAUAAGCACCGGCUAACUCCGUGCCAGCAGCCGCGGUAAAGUAU